GAACGGGAAAACGGGGGCAACUCCGUGAGUAUAGUGGCGCACGGGUGAGUAACACGUGACUACCUACCUUUGAGUGGGGGAUAACCCCGGGAAACCGGGGCUAAUACCGCAUAACAUCGCAAGAUCAAAGAAGCAAUUCGCUUAAAGAGGGGGUCGCGGCUGAUUAGCUAGUUGGUAGGGUAAUGGCCUACCAAGGCGAUGAUCGGUAGCCGGCCUGAGAGGGCGCACGGCCACACUGGAACUGAAACACGGUCCAGACUCCUACGGGAGGCAGCAGUGGGGAAUUUUGCGCAAUGGGGGAAACCCUGACGCAGCAACGCCGCGUGGAGGAUGAAGUCCCUUGGGACGUAAACUCCUUUCGACCGGGACGAUUAUGACGGUACCGGUGGAAGAAGCCCCGGCUAACUUCGUGCCAGCAGACGCGGUAAUACG
rnacentral:rRNA from 1 species